rnacentral:lncRNA from 1 species
AGCUGCGCCCAGACUGAGCCGCAGACCACGAGGGAGACGGGUAUCCAGGGAAGCCGCUGCUGCGACGCCGAGGUGCAAGCGUCGCCGCAAGGCGUGCCUGCUGUGGAGGCCAGGGCGUACGAUUGGCCGUCCCUCGCAACGUUCAUGCGGCAGGCCUACCCCAGAAUGAUGCAGGAGCUUGAGAAUUCUUCGCGCAGCAGCAGGGCCUUCCGUGGCUACAGGCUGCUGGCCGACACUUGCGAAGGCAGCGAGUCCCGGCUGUAUCGCGACAUCACUUUUCCCCGAGAGCUUCACUGCACGGAUUCCUCCUGGAACUCCACUGGAUCCGUCAUAGCACUUUCAU